rnacentral:rRNA from 1 species
UGCGUAGGUGGUUUCUUAAGUCAGAGGUGAAAGGCUACGGCUCAACCGUAGUAAGCCUUUGAAACUGGGAAACUUGAGUGCAGGAGAGGAGAGUGGAAUUCCUAGUGUAGCGGUGAAAUGCGUAGAUAUUAGGAGGAACACCAGUUGCGAAGGCGCCUUUCUGGACUGUGUCUGACGCUGAGAUGCGAAAGCCAGGGUAGCGAACG